rnacentral:rRNA from 1 species
UACGGAGGGCGCAAGCGUUGUUCGGAAUCACUGGGCGUAAAGCGCGUGUAGGCGGCCGGGCAAGUCGGGUGUGAAAUCCCGAGGCUCAACCUCGGAACUGCAUUCGAAACUGCUCGGCUCGAGUCCCGGAGAGGAUGGCGGAAUUCCCGGUGUAGGGGUGAAAUCCGUAGAUAUCUGGAGGAACACCGGUGGCGAAGGCGGCAUCCUGGACCAACACUGACACUGAGGAGCGAAAGCCAGGGGAGCAAACGGG